GCGGGAAUAGCUCAGUUGGUAGAGCGCAACCUUGCCAAGGUUGAGGUCGCGAGUUCGAGCCUCGUUUCCCGCU
rfam:Serratia odorifera DSM 4582 genomic scaffold SCAFFOLD1, whole genome shotgun sequence.